UACAGAGGGUGCGAGCGUUAAUCGGAAUUACUGGGCGUAAAGCGCGCGUAGGCGGCUUUGCAAGUCGGGUGUGAAAUCCCCAGGCUUAACCUGGGAACUGCAUUCGAGACUGCAUUGCUAGAGUAUGGGAGAGGGAAGUGGAAUUUCCGGUGUAGCGGUGAAGUGCGUAGAUAUGUGGAGGAACACCGAUGGCGAAGGCAGCCCCCUGGGUCAAGACUGACGCUCAUGCACGAAAGCGUGGGGAGCAAACAGG
rnacentral:rRNA from 1 species